UAGAGUUUGAUCCUGGCUCAGAACGAACGCUGGCGGCAUGCCUAACACAUGCAAGUCGAACGGGAUCCGGACUUCGGUCCGGUGAGAGUGGCGGACGGGUGAGUAACGCGUGGGAACCUGCCCAAUGGUCUGGGAUAACCGCGGGAAACUGCGGCUAAUACCGGAUAAGCCCGAGAGGGGAAAGAUUUAUCGCCGAUGGAGGGGCCCGCGUCCGAUUAGGUAGUUGGUGAGGUAACGGCUCACCAAGCCGACGAUCGGUAGCUGGUCUGAGAGGAUGAUCAGCCACACUGGGACUGAGAUACGGCCCAGACUCCUACGGGAGGCAGCAGUGGGGAAUAUUGGACAAUGGGGGCAACCCUGAUCCAGCAAUGCCGCGUGAGUGAUGAAGGCCUUAGGGUUGUAAAGCUCUUUUGGCGGGGACGAUGAUGACGGUACCCGCAGAAUAAGCCCCGGCUAACUUCGUGCCAGCAGCCGCGGUAAUACGAAGGGGGCGAGCGUUGUUCGGAAUUACUGGGCGUAAAGGGCGCGUAGGCGGCGACCCAAGUCAGAUGUGAAAGUCCUGGGCUUAACCUGGGGACUGCAUUUGAUACUGGGUUGCUUGAAUGCAGGAGAGGAUAGCGGAAUUCCCAGUGUAGAGGUGAAAUUCGUAGAUAUUGGGAAGAACACCGGUGGCGAAGGCGGCUAUCUGGACUGUGAUUGACGCUGAGGCGCGAAAGCGUGGGGAGCAAACAGGAUUAGAUACCCUGGUAGUCCACGCCGUAACGAUGAAUGCUAGACGCUGGGGAGCAUGCUCUUCGGUGUCGCAGCUAACGCAUUAAGCAUUCCGCCUGGGGAGUACGGUCGCAAGAUUAAAACUCAAAGGGAUUUGACGG
rnacentral:rRNA from 1 species